rnacentral:tRNA from 1 species
GGGCGUGUAGCUCAGGGGUAGAGCACUACACUCACAUUGUAGAAGUCAUAGGUUCAAAUCCUAUCACGCCCA